rnacentral:tRNA from 1 species
UGGGGUAUCGCCAAGCGGUAAGGCACCGGAUUCUGAUUCCGGCAUUCCGCAUUCCGAGGUUCGAAUCCUCGUACCCCAGCCA